rnacentral:tRNA from 1 species
AGGGCUAUAGCUCAGUUGGUAGAGCAGGAAAAAAGGAGCUUUGUCAAAAGCUUUUGCAGCAACUUUCUAUAGGAAUGAUAAUCCCCUUGUCGCCGGUUCGAGUCCGGUUAGCCCUA